AUUGAACGCUGGCGGAAUGCUUUACACAUGCAAGUCGAACGGCAGCACGGACUUCGGUCUGGUGGCGAGUGGCGAACGGGUGAGUAAUGUAUCGGAACGUGCCCAGUCGUGGGGGAUAACGUAGUGAAAAUUACGCUAAUACCGCAUACGAUCUAUGGGUGAAAGCGGGGGAUCGCAAGACCUCGCGCGAUUGGAGCGGCCGAUAUCAGAUUAGGUAGUUGGUGGGGUAAAGGCCCACCAAGCCAACGAUCUGUAGCUGGUCUGAGAGGACGACCUGCCACACUGGAACUGAGACACGGUCCAGACUCCUACGGGAGGCAGCAGUGGGGAAUUUUGGACAAUGGGCGAAAGCCUGAUCCAGCCAUUCCGCGUGCAGGAUGAAGGCCCUCGGGUUGUAAACUGCUUUUGUACAGAACGAAAAGGUUUCUACUAAUACUAGGAGCUCAUGACGGUACUGUAAGAAUAAGCACCGGCUAACUACGUGCCAGCCGCCGCAGUAA
rnacentral:rRNA from 1 species